rnacentral:rRNA from 1 species
UGGGGAAUAUUGCACAAUGGGCGAAAGCCUGAUGCAGCGACGCCGCGUGCGGGAUGAAGGCCUUCGGGUUGUAAACCGCUUUUAAUUGGGAGCAAGCGAGAGUGAGUGUACCUUUUGAAUAAGCACCGGCUAACUACGUGCCAGCAGCCGCGGUAAUACGUAGGGUGCAAGCGUUAUCCGGAAUUAUUGGGCGUAAAGAGCUCGUAGGCGGUUUGUCACGCCUGGUGUGAAAGUCCAUCGCUUAACGGUGGAUCUGCGCCGGGUACGGGCAGGCUAGAGUGCAGUAGGGGAGAUUGGAAUUCCCGGUGUAACGGUGGAAUGUGUAGAUAUCGGGAAGAACACCAAUGGCGAAGGCAGAUCUCUGGGCUGUUACUGACGCUGAGGAGCGAAAGCAUGGGGAGCGAACAGGAUUAGAUACCCUGGUAGUCCAUGCCGUAAACGGUGGAUGCUGGAUGUGGGACCCUUCCACGGGUUCCGUGUCGGAGCUAACGCGUUAAGCAUCCCGCCUGGGGAGUACGGCCGCAAGGCUAAA